GACGAACGCUGGCGGCGUGCUUAACACAUGCAAGUCGAACGAAGAGCGACGGAAGCUUGCUUCUAUCAAUCUUAGUGGCGAACGGGUGAGUAACGCGUAAUCAACCUGCCCUUCAGAGGGGGACAACAGUUGGAAACGACUGCUAAUACCGCAUACGAUCUAACCUCGGCAUCGAGGAUAGAUGAAAGGUGGCCUCUACAUGUAAGCUAUCACUGAAGGAGGGGAUUGCGUCUGAUUAGCUAGUUGGAGGGGUAACGGCCCACCAAGGCGAUGAUCAGUAGCCGGUCUGAGAGGAUGAACGGCCACAUUGGGACUGAGACACGGCCCAGACUCCUACGGGAGGCAGCAGUGGGGAAUCUUCCGCAAUGGACGAAAGUCUGACGGAGCAACGCCGCGUGAGGGAUGACGGCCUUCGGGUUGUAAAGCUCUGUUAAUCGGGACGAAAGGCCUUCUUGCGAAUAGGGAGAAGGAUUGACGGUACCGGAAUAGAAAGCCACGGCUAACUACGUG
rnacentral:rRNA from 1 species